rnacentral:rRNA from 1 species
UACAGGGGGUGCAAGCGUUACUCGGAAUUACUGGGCGUAAAGAGCGUGUAGGCGGCUUAACAAGUCCGAUGUGAAAUCCCUGGGCUCAAUCCAGGAAGUGCAUUGGAUACUGUUUAGCUAGAGUAUAGGAGAGGUGAGUGGAAUUCCCGGUGUAGAGGUGAAAUUCGUAGAUAUCGGGAGGAACAACAGAAGCGAAGGCGACUCACUGGACUAUUACUGACGCUAAGGCGCGAAAGCGUGGGGAGCAAACAGG